ensembl:lncRNA LINC02269 long intergenic non-protein coding RNA 2269
AUGCCAAAUUAAUCACACUUCUUAAACACAUCUCUUGACCGGGGUGUUCUCACCAUGCCCUUUCUACAAACAAAAAGAAUAUUAAAUAAAGUUCGAACGAAUCGAGUGACGCUGAACAAUAAACCUAUUUUGACUGCUAAUUGCUAAAUAAAGAAUGAAGAUGUGGAGACCUGGAGACAGGUGGCACCUCGUGCUUCCUCCGAAGGGAGAGCCCAUUUCCUAACAGCUGGAUCAAAGGCAUGAAAUGAACAUGGAGUCCCUGAAGAUGAAGAGAAGGCAUGGCUUCCAGGGAGAAAUUGUACAUUACAGGAAUGCAGAUGUGAUUCCUAUGGAUGAGGGUAACCUAGAGGCUAGAAGAACAAUAGGACAGAAGAAGCCUGGGUCCCUGAACAACCUUGUGGAGCAUAGACACCUACGUGGCCUGGACUGCCAGCUCACAAUGGGCCUCUCUGUGAGAGAAGGAAACUUCCCUCUUGUUUAAGCAACUGUGCUUUUGAGAAUCUCUUGGUCUAUACCCUAAUGAAUAAGGCCAUCAUAAAUGGAUAUCAAAGUAAGGAAAUUUGUGUAAAUGAUUUAAUAAAACAUUACCUCAGGUAUGAAAUAAUUC